rnacentral:rRNA from 1 species
CGGCGGACGGGUGAGUAACGCGUGGGUAACCUGCCUCAUACAGGGGGAUAACAGUUGGAAACGGCUGCUAAUACCGCAUAAGCGCACAGUACCGCAUGGUGCAGGGGUAAAAACUCCGGUGGUAUGAGAUGGACCCGCGUCUGAUUAGCUGGUUGGUGGGGUAACGGCCUACCAAGGCGACGAUCAGUAGCCGACCUGAGAGGGUGACCGGCCACAUUGGGACUGAGACACGGUCCAA